rnacentral:ncRNA from 3 species
CCCCUGCGCAAGGAUGACA